rnacentral:rRNA from 1 species
GUCCACGCCGUAAACGAUGGGAACUAGGUGUGGGAGGUGUCGACUCCUCCCGUGCCGACGCUAACGCAUUAAGUUCCCCGCCUGGGGAGUACGGCCGCAAGGCUAAAACUCAAAGGAAUUGACGGGGCCCGCACAAGCAGCGGAGCAUGUGGUUUAAUUCGACGCAACGCGAAGAACCUUACCUGGGCUUGACAUGUUGGUGACCGGUGUGGAAACACACCUUUCCUUCGGGACACCAUCACAGGUGGUGCAUGGCUGUCGU